CGGUGAAUACGUUCCCGGGCCUUGUACACACCGCCCGUCACACCAUGGGAGUGGGUUGCAAAAGAAGUAGGUAGCUUAACCUUCGGGAGGGCGCUUACCACUUUGUGAUUCAUGACUGGGGUGAAGUCGUAACAAGGUAACCGUAGGGGAACCUGCGGUUGGAUCACCUCCUUACCUUAAAGAAGC
rnacentral:rRNA from 2 species